ACAACAUUAUCCUCGGCACAUUUUCUUCCUCGUUCACCAUCUCUUCCCCGCAGGCAUCACACGCUCUGAUGUCCGCCGCCUGCCCGCCUCCUAUUCUAUCAUCUAGCUCCGAUGGCACUAGGGUUUCAUGGGCUCGCGAGUCGCGACUGCCGCUCACCACGGAGGAGGCGGUCAGCCUUGUGUCCACUCCUCGCCAUGGAGGAGGAGGAGGAGGCUCGGACUCGCGCCCGAUGUGUGCCGCUGUUGUGGUGGCGGAGCGGCGGCGGCAGCGUUGAGAUCCGGCAGUGGGAGAGGAGUGAUUCAGUGGUUGGAACGCGAUGGCGCUGGUGAGGGCCGACCUCAGACGACUGCGGUGGGAGCGGGUGACGCAAGGCACGGCAGCGUCGGCGAGGGCCGGCCUCCGGCGAUAUGCGGCGGGAAUAAGGUGACAUGAGGCGCGGUGGCGUGAAACACAGCUCUGACGAUCGGAUCCGAGCAAAUGGCGUCCGAUCCGCUCGUCGGAGCGACGGAUCUGAGCAGGCGCCACCCAAUCCACGAGUUGAGGCUGCUCGAGGGCCUUGCCAGGCUCCCCUGCAUUUAUUCCCUCAUCGUCAACGAGUUCCCCACAUCGUUGAAACCAAGUCACAAUGCCAACCACCAGAUCAUGCAGAGCCUGAGAGUUCAGAGUACCAUGUGUUGGUUUCACUGGUCAUAGCUUGAUGCAUCUUAGGAAAUGGAAGCAUGAAGUUAAUGGAUUGUGGCAAGGAGAUUACGUGGGCAGAAGUAAUGGGAAAACUUGAAGUGCAUCGAUAGUGCAGAUAGGAAGACGUUGCGCGAGGGUUUAAAGACCAUUCCAACUGGCUUUUUGUUGGCAGAUAGUAUUUAAAGUGUUCGCCUCAAGCAAUUUCGAAAAGUUAAGCUUUCUAAAUCUCAGCUGAUGACAAAGUGAGAAGAUGCAUGGCAACAAGGAUUGAAGCAGCUACCCUCUUGUGCUUAUCUACCAAUCUGUCUUGUGGGUACAGCACGCCCUCAGAAAUCUAGGCCUGAUUGGUCCCAGAUUUUGUUGCAAAUGUCUGCCACUAAAAAUUAUUUGAAUCUAGAAUGUUACAGUCUCAGUUUCCCUGCAGGCCCCUUCCUCAUUACCUAUACACUCCCAGGAGUAAUGUAACAGUUUUGAGCGCAUAUCAGUAGAUUAUCUAUGUAAUUUUGUUGCUUCCUUUCUGGUGUUCGGCUAGCGGCAGUGCCCACUGCCCAAGAGCUGGCAGUUUUUGCCUUU